CGCGGGAUUAGAGUUUGAUCCUGGCUCAGAACGAACGCUGGCGGCAGGCUUAACACAUGCAAGUCGAGCGCCCCGCAAGGGGAGCGGCAGACGGGUGAGUAACGCGUGGGAAUCUACCCAAUUCUACGGAAUAACACAGGGAAACUUGUGCUAAUACCGUAUACGCCCUACGGGGGAAAGAUUUAUCGGAGUUGGAUGAGCCCGCGUUGGAUUAGCUAGUUGGUGGGGUAAUGGCCUACCAAGGCGACAAUCCAUAGCUGGUCUGAGAGGAUGAUCAGCCACACUGGGACUGAGACACGGCCCAGACUCCUACUGGAGGCAGCAGUGGGGAAUAUUGGACAAUGGGCGAAAGCCUGAUCCAGCCAUGCCGCGUGAGUGAUGAAGGCCUUAGGGUUGUAAAGCUCUUUCAGUGGGGAAGAUAAUGACGGUACCCACAGAAGAAGCCCCGGCUAACUUCGUGCCAGCAGCCGCGGUAAUACGAAGGGGGCUAGCGUUGUUCGGAUUUACUGGGCGUAAAGCGCACGUAGGCGGAUUGUUAAGUCAGGGGUGAAAUCCUGGAGCUCAACUCCAGAACUGCCUUUGAUACUGGCAAUCUCGAGUCCGGAAGAGGUGAGUGGAACUCCUAGUGUAGAGGUGGAAUUCGUAGAUAUUAGGAAGAACACCAGUGGCGAAGGCGGCUCACUGGUCCGGUACUGACGCUGAGGUGCGAAAGCGUGGGGAGCAAACAGGAUUAGAUACCCUGGUAGUCCACGCCGUAAACUAUGAGAGCUAGCCGUUGGGGAGUAUACUCCUCAGUGGCGCAGCUAACGCAUUAAGCUCUCCGCCUGGGGAGUACGGUCGC
rnacentral:rRNA from 1 species